UCAAGCCACCCUUAAUGUCAGUAUUUGUGUUCUCUGUAGUUGAUGUUUCUGUCAGAUUGUCAUUUGUAUGUUUCAACUGUUUGUAUUGAUGUUUAAGUCUAAAAGAACAAUGAAAUAUGUUUCUUUUCUCUAACAGGGAGAAAAAACAAUCACAUCUCAAAUGAGAAAACAGACAAAGCCAGUAAUGAAGACAACUCAGUUAAUUCAUCCUCAAUGAAUCCUGAAUGUGAUGUGACCUACAGUUAUGUUAUUGAACUUCCCAAGACUAAAGCAUGUGAACCAGCAAAUGUAAAGGAAAAUGUGAUCUACAGCUCUGUACGUGAAUAGGUUUGUGGACUGGAUUAAAUACCUGAGCAAAAUAUGAACCCAGUGAUACAAACAACAAAACAAACAGUUGUUUUGAUGAGAUAUGACAUUAUCCAGUUAUUUUAGCAUGUGACAUACCCACCUUUAUAUUUAUAAUUCUGUCUAAAUGUAAGUGGCUAAAUGUGUCUUAAUUAAAUAAACUGUGUUUGUUUUUCAUUCAUUUUUAGUUGAUUUAUAUAAGCAUCUUCAGACACAAGUACGUAUAGGUAAAUAAGUUAGGUUGUAAUGUGCUUGCCUUUAGGUGUAACAUUUAGCAUAAUGUAAUUUAAACAUCAGUGAUUUCUGUAUUAGUCUUUUGAGGCAAAAUGUGAAAAGCUGUUUUAUUUGUAAGUUGCUUUGUA